rnacentral:misc_RNA from 1 species
UGAUAAGGUGCAUUUUCAGGAGGGAAUCUUGGGAUAUCUACCUGGUAUUUGAGAUUCAUGCAGCUCAUGCAGAUAGUUACAAUGGCUAUCUGGCUUUUUGUCUAUAAAUAUAAGAAGUAGCCAUUAAAUAAGUAUGUUUAUGCUGCCAAAAUUUCUACUAAAGCUCUUUCUAUUUCAAUUUUCAUUCUCUCGAUAUACGCUUCUAACUUAAGCAUCGGAGCAACUGGCCAGAAGGCCCCCGACCUCACUAUUUCUUCGUUUUACAGGCUUACUAGAAGUUUAUGUAGCACAUUGAAUAGUCUUUAGAGGCUCACGGCAG